UGGACGCAACCGCCGCGUGGCCGAGGCCUUCGCCCGCUCGCAGAAGUCAAUAGCGGAGCUGGAAGCUGAGAUGUUGAACGGUCAGAAGCUCCAGGGUCCUCAGACGUCUGCAGAGGUUUACAAGAUCCUCCAGAAGAAGAGCAUGGUGGACAAGUGAGUCCGAAUAUCAGAUCUGUUUUGAGGGCCGGCAGGUGAAGGAGUUCAUCAGCUGCCUUCAGAACCAUCCAGAACACAUGUGAGCGACCCGAUCCGAUCCGAUCCGAUCCACACACUACUGAGCUUCAUUCACACCUCACGGCCAACAAAAGAUGACUCAUGAGUCCAGUAUGAUGAGUAGUGUUUGUGUAUUUCUGACUCAGGACUGUAACGCUGGUAAACGCACAUGUGCAGCAUUUUAUAUUUGCAGUUUUGACUACAAUUGUCUUAUAGAGAAGUAUUAAAUGUAAUGCUUUAUAACACAAUCAAUAAAAGCCAUGCUGCUUGUUUUAAUCA